rnacentral:misc_RNA from 1 species
AAGUCGUAACAAGGUUUCCGUAGGUGAACCUGCGGAAGGAUCAUUAACAAUUAUCUGACCACAACACUAACGGGGGUCACAUCCCGUUUUUGUAUCCCAACCAAACAGCGAACUAAACGCGAGGGAGGGAACUGACUGGGAGUGAGAGCGCGGGGGGUGUCAUGCCCCUCGUUGUUUUUCAUCUCGCAGUCUUUUCCGCCUUGCUUUUUUUCACUUUUCCCAAAACCCACAUUUAAACCCAAUGAAACAUUUUGACUGAACCCUUUUUCUGUUGUUGUUCUUCGCUCUCGAAAGGGAGGAAAGCGACGCAAGAAAAAGUAAAAAAACACAAACCAAAUAACAACUCUUAACAACGGAUAUCUUGGCUCUC